AUGAGCACAUUUAGCAGAAUGAUCAAUCCGCUGCUGCCAUAUCACUUCUAUUUAUAAUCUUGGCAGAGCUACAAAUUUCAAGGGUUUUCGGAGACAGAGGGAUUCUGCUACACGAAGUGAUUUUAGCUCUCCUCUUUUCAGAGUUCGGAUUCAGGGGGGUGGAAUCUUCCAGCUUCUGAAGGAAUUGACGUUCCUGCGGACCCCAACUAGCUUUCUGCUCCUGCUUACAGAUGAUGACUUGUAAUCCCGGCAAGGAGAAGGCUUGAAAGGAUCUUUUCUCUAAGGUAUACAGCUCCACCCAGGGGAGCAUGGAAUAUUUGCGGGGAAAGAGAUGCCAGUCAUAUGAAACUCAAGGUUGGAAACAACUACUCUGAUUUCCUGGUACAUCCUUUAAAAAAAGUCAAAGCUGAGUUCAUUGAGAAAGCAGCAAUUGCAAUUAAUGGAUGUCAGAAUGUCCCAGCACUUCCAGCUGAUGAAGAUUCACUCAUUGAAGACAAAAAGAAGCACACUCAAGAGUUUUCUUUAAAGAAAGAAGAUGGGUGAUACACUAAUGGCAAAGCAAGUCUGUCCGCAAAGAACGGAACUGAAUGAGACGUAGGCAUUUUCCAUGGAGUGUGACUCACCAGUGGUUCAGAGUGAAGGAAGAGUGUUGGAGAGAGAAUAAUAACCAUAAUUCAGACUGAGACCUUUAUGAAGGCAAGAACCCUAUUUUUUUCAUCUUUGAGUCUCCAAUAACUUAUAAAUAUUUGUUGCAUAAAUAUUUGUUGAAUGAUUAAAUGAGUUUUACUCUCCCAGGCUUUCCUGGGCAACACCAUUACUAAAUUCUGUGAAUAUUUAAGUGACUGUAUUAGAGGGGCUGUGCUGUAUUGUGUGUGGGUGUACUGACA